rnacentral:lncRNA from 1 species
UAUCGGUAUUUCUAGCUUUCAAAAUUAAAAGUAAAAAUAAAAGCAUUUAUUUCUCCAUAGCUUCCUUUUCACUGUAGUUAAAACACUGGCUUUGGAUAUCACUGUUAACAUUGUGAGUGCAUUACAUUUAAACUUAAAAAAUUAUGAAGACUAUGAAACAUAUUUUCAGUGUAAAACAGUGAUUUUUUUCACAAAGAAGUGAGAAACACAUCAGCAAGCUUAGUCCUUGUGUCUUCUUUAGGUGACAAUGAAGAGCGUGUUCUAUGUACUGAAUGUUGCUGGAGGGCAAGUUUCCCAGAUGGGAACCAGGACAUCUUUCAGAAUGAAGAUGAUGAAGGUCUAGUGGUAUGAUGACCAGAGAUGGGGAGAGUAACAGCUGGAAAGACAAAGACAAAACUCACCGUAUUCAUAUCAACUGUUCCUGUAACACCACCAUCAACUGAAGGAUUAGAAGAGGGAAAUGCCCUUGAAAAGGGGAACUGUGAAGAGACUAUUCCUGGAAAGCUGUAUCUGGGCAGUGAAAAGGAGCAAGUAGGCAUUAUCAGCUUCCAUCACCCAGUGAAGUUGUCUCCAGGCAAUGAUCAAAGGAAAUUGUGCAGCUGCCUUUUAAGUCUAUUACACAACAAGAAUUCCAGGAUUUUGAUUUCAUUUCAGAGAAUAAGCAAGCCUCCAGUGCAGAGUUCAUGGACAAAAACGUAUUUAGUAUUACAAAAUCUGUCUUGAGAUCUAAAGGGCACAGCUAAAACAGACCUGAAACAGGCAACAGACAAACAGGACAAACAUUUCUCAUAUGUAUUGUCAUUA